GGAGCAUGUGGUUUAAUUCGAUGCAACGCGAAGAACCUUACCUGGUCUUGACAUCCACGGAAGUUUUCAGAGAUGAGAAUGUGCCUUCGGGAGCCGUGAGACAGGUGCUGCAUGGCUGUCGUCAGCUCGUGUUGUGAAAUGUUGGGUUAAGUCCCGCAACGAGCGCAACCCUUAUCCUUUGUUGCCAGCGGUCCGGCCGGGAACUCAAAGGAGACUGCCAGUGAUAAACUGGAGGAAGGUGGGGAUGACGUCAAGUCAUCAUGGCCCUUACGACCAGGGCUACACACGUGCUACAAUGGCGCAUACAAAGAGAAGCGACCUCGCGAGAGCAAGCGGACCUCAUAAAGUGCGUCGUAGUCCGGAUUGGAGUCUGCAACUCGACUCCAUGAAGUCGGAAUCGCUAGUAAUCGUGGAUCAGAAUGCCACGGUGAAUACGUCCCCGGGCCUUGUACACACCGCCCGUCACACAUGGGA
rnacentral:rRNA from 1 species